rnacentral:rRNA from 1 species
GCGCCGGCUAACUACGUGCCAGCAGCCGCGGUAAUACGUAGGGCGCAAGCGUUAUCCGGAAUUAUUGGGCGUAAAGAGCUCGUAGGCGGUUUGUCGCGUCUGCUGUGAAAUCCCGAGGCUCAACCUCGGGCCUGCAGUGGGUACGGGCAGACUAGAGUGCGGUAGGGGAGAUUGGAAUUCCUGGUGUAGCGGUGGAAUGCGCAGAUAUCAGGAGGAACACCGAUGGCGAAGGCAGAUCUCUGGGCCGUAACUGACGCUGAGGAGCGAAAGGGUGGGGAGCAAACAGGCUUAGAUACCCUGGUAGUCCACCCCGUAAACGUUGGGAACUAGUUGUGGGGUCCAUUCCACGGAUUCCGUGACGCAGCUAACGCAUUAAGUUCCCCGCCUGGGGAGUACGGCCGCAAGGCUAAAACUCAAAGGAAUUGACGGGGACCCGCACAAGCGGCGGAGCAUGCGGAUUAAUUCGAUGCAACGCGAAGAACCUUACCAAGGCUUGACAUAUACGAGAACGGGCCAGAAAUGGUCAACUCUUUGGACACUCGUAAACAGGUGGUGCAUGGUUGUCGUCAGCUCGUGUCGUGAGAUGUUGGGUUAAGUCCCGCAACGAGCGCAACCCUCGUUCUAUGUUGCCAGCACGUAAUGGUGGGAACUCAUGGGAUACUGCCGGGGUCAACUCGGAGGAAGGUGGGGAUGACGUCAAAUCAUCAUGCCCCUUAUGUCUUGGGCUUCACGCAUGCUACAAUGGCCGGUACAAAGGGCUGCAAUACCGUGAGGUGGAGCGAAUCCCAAAAAGCCGGUCCCAGUUCGGAUUGAGGUCUGCAACUCGACCUCAUGAAGUCGGAGUCGCUAGUAAUCGCAGAUCAGCAACGCUGCGGUGAAUACGUUCCCGGGUCUUGUACACACCGCCCGUCAAGUCAUGAAAGUCGGUAACACCUGAAGC